ACUGUAGCAUUAAACCUUUUGUGUCACAUUGCUUUGCCACUCUGCUGACGAAGUCUUCAUCUUCACUCAGGCUCACCCCAUCUUUUGGAAAUAUUUGAGGACUUGGCUGAAGGUGAAGACCAUAAAUUCAUCAAGGAUCGUUUCAGAGCCAAAAGCAGUGAAGCAGAAAGCAAGACCAUCAGCGGAAAGUGAAGAUGGAGCAGUAGGUACCACAAAUUUGAGGAGAAAACAAUCACUCAUACAUGAAUGCAUCUAUUCCCUAUUUCUGACUCCUUCUGGAUAUUCUUGGGCUGAAAAUCUCCUAGAAUUCGGUGUUCAAUCAAAAUUGCUGUAAGUAUACAUUUUCCGUUGACUUCCACCCUAAGUUGAAAGUGAGUACCUGGGACUAGAUUGCUUGUUUCCCCUCUAUGCCUCUGUCCUUAGUCACUAAGCUCACUUACCUGCCCCCAUCCUAGACUCUGAAGACGAUAUAGACCCUAAGUCAAGUGACCUAAUCUAUCCCAAUUACUCAAGUCUCCGGUGGUUCAGUGACUUAGCAGCAAGCCUGCCCUGCUGAUAAUCCUGCUGUUCCUGUAAACUGCAGCCCUAAUUAUGGACUCUCUCUCCUAUUUUAUCACUGUGCUAGUUGCUGUUUGUUUGGAGAAUUGUUUUGUUUUAAUAUGUUUGCUGGUCAGUUGCUCAUCUUUUUUUUUCUUUUUUAACCGAAUCCCUGCCUUCUUCUGCUAGUUCAGUAGUUGGCUCCUUCCUUGUUCCCUCAUGCUUGAAUAUUUUUGUAAUUCCCCAGUUCCUCUGAGAUUUGAAUCCUAACUUUCAGAGACUGGAGUCCAGAAUCCUAGUUCCCAUAGCCAUGUCUUUACUACCUUCUAACAAAUUAAUGCUUAAACAAGCAGCCACGGGUUGGAGAGUCAUCAGGGUUCCCACUGUCCAUCGCCAACCUGCAUGUCUUCCACAUGCCAGGCACAGAAAAACUAAGGGCACCACA
rnacentral:lncRNA from 1 species